rnacentral:lncRNA from 1 species
UACCUUGUUUUACCCCUUACCUGUUUUUCCGUCUUUUUGUUUUUAUUUUUGGACGAUUUCCUCAGUUUUGUAAUCUAGCUCUUUUCUAGUAGGUUUUUAAAAUGAAACCCGACAGGUAAACAGCAAAGGGCACAGCUCACAAGUGUGCAUUUAGCUCAGUGGCUCUCCAGAAACGGAAAACUCUUGCAUGACUCCCCCCCUCUCCCCCCGGCCAGGGGAUAGCGCGCUGCUGUUUCCUGCUGCUCCCCUCCUGCCCCACUGGUCACCACUCCCUCUUCUCCCAGCGACAGUCACUCGGGACUGCUGACGCCACAGUUCACUUUCACUGUUUUCAAGCUUUAGUGUACAUCAGCCUCACCUGCAAGAUUUGGGGUGGGUUUUUUCACCUUUUUAGGGCCACACCCGCAGCAUACGGAGGGUCCCAGGCUAGGGAUUGAAUCGGAGCUGCAGCUGCCAGCCUCCGCCACAGCCACAGCAGCGCAGGAUCCGAGCAGCAUCUGUGGCCUACAGCACCGCGGCAACGCCGGAUCCUUAACCCACUGAGCGAGGCCAGGGACCAAACCCGAAUCCUCACGGCUAUCGCUGAGCCACAACGGGAACUUCGGAAGAUUUGUUAAAACAGAUUGCUGGCGCUCACUUCAGAGUUUCUGAUUCAGUAGGUCUGUAUUGGAAUUUUCUUAAGAAGUUAUCAGGUGCUGCUGCUGAGAACCACUGGCCUAGGUUCUUUAGCUAAAACCAAAUGGAAUCAUACCGUUGUCCUUUUUGGUGUAUGGUGUUUUUUGUUCAAAAUUAACCUUGUGAAAUUAAUGCUUUUAGAAAAAGUAGCUGAAGUUCAUUUCAACUCCUGAGUAGUAUGACUCUGCCGUUGAGUGUGAAGUUAUUUAUCUGUUCUGCUGGUGGCGGUCGUUUGGACUAGUCCCAGUAUUUGGCUGUUAGGAGUGACGGUACUAAGGACAUUCCUUUGGAGUAUUUUGCUGAAAAUGUGCGAACGUUUCUGCUGGAAAUAAACCCGCGGGCGAGGAGCUGCUGGCAGGCAGCGUAUAUCCAGCUCUUUUCCACAGCAGUGGCACCAAUUUUCACUCCUAACAGCAGGGGGCGCGAGUGCGCUCUUUGCCCUGCGUCCUGGACGCCACCUCCCUGCUCCAUCUUUUUAUUUGUAAGCCCUUCUGGCAGGAGUGCAGUGGUUUCUCACUGUGGUCUUCCGUUGCAUUUCCAUGGUGACUGAUGGCACUUCUUAAGUUAUUUGCUACUUGGAUAUCCUUUGGUAUUACAUAGCCAUUUAAGUUUCUUGCUCAUUUUUGUAUUUAUUUAUCUAUCUUUUUCCUAUUGACUUGUACUAGUUCUUGGUAUAUUCUGGAUAUGACUAUUAGUUGGUAGUAUAUAUUGCAGUAAUUUCUUCCGUUCUGUGGUUUGCCUUUAUUCUGUUAGGCAUAAGGUUUUGAGGUGUGUGUGUGUGUGUGUGUGGUGAGAGCACCUGAGAUCUACUUUUAAAAGCAAAUUUCCGGCAUGUCGUAGAAUUAACUGUAGGCGUCCUGCUGCACGUCGAUGUCCGGCAUUACGCAUCCUGCGAAACCCUGACUCUGGCCUCUGACCAUCACCCCCCCCCCCCCCCUCGUCGCUGCCCUUGGCAACUGCCGCUCCACUCGCUUUGUUUUCGGUGUUCAGGCCGCACACGCGUGUGAGCUCCUGCGGUCCUCCUCUCUCCAUGUCUGGUUUAGUUCUCUUCGUCCAGUGCCCUCCAGGCCCACCGGCGUUAACACUCGCAGACGGCAGGAUCCGCUUGCUUCCUCAGGCUGAAUAAACCUCCAUGUUACGCCUGUAUACAGAAGGCGCAGAGCAAGGCAACAAAGGAGAAAUGGAUGUCGGCGUGGGCGAGGAACAAGCAGCAGCAGAGACGUCGACAGCUGAAGAAGUUAAGUUUGCCUUUCUGUACUGCAUAGUCUGACAAGCCAAAAAACCCCGGCUGCAACAGAACUUCCAGCCUCCCUGGGGCCCUGGAUGUGACUUACAUCCUGCCCGUGAAAUGUACGUGCUCAAGAUUUGAGAAGGCGGACGGAGGCGGAGGCCACUUCCCAACUGUAUCUGGCUUCGUUCGCGUGGGUUUGCUCAUGAUCCAGACUGUGGAGCUAAGUCCAACAGCCAUUUCCAGCCGUUCCAGUUUCCCGCACUGAAACCUCCUCACAAACAUAAUGAGGGGAACAGCCUUCGGGGAUCUCAUAGAGCCAGUUCGUCUCCCCCAGUCCCGGUUUCUGGGCAUGUGGAUUAAGAGCCAGGAUUCUCCCGACAAGCAGGGGCCAGAGCGUGUGCGCUGGCACAGCUGCAGAAGAGCCCAACAGAGGACGCCAGGACACAGGGCACCAGCCGGGCUUGGCUUCCAGGGGUCCUUCCUCCACCGGUGUGUGGGGAGAGAGCCUCUUUCACGGGGUGCCCGUUCCCCCAGAGCCUGUGCUCCGAACGCCACAAACGUCAGCCCAUCCACGACUCAAAACCACUGCAGGGCAGGCGUGGUCACCCUCAGUGGACGUUUGGGACGACGGACUCUGAGCCGGUGACGCGACUCGCCUGAGACGCUCAGAUAACAUCAGGUCUGUCUCACGGUCCACCGUUUACAUGAACGAGUUCUUCUCUUUUUUAAAUGAUGAAAAUAAUCUGUGUUCAUUGUCUGAUCUCUCUCAUCAUCCCGUUGGUGUGGCGGUAGCAGGAGGGAAGCAAGGGCUGUGCUUUCUGUGACCGUGUUUACGUCAUUGUCAAGUCCCUGCUGCUUUGAUGACAGAUCCUGCCCAGGUUUUGAUAAAAGAUACAGGAGUUCUAUUUUCUUUUUCCUUUCUUUUCUUUUUUUCAUUGCACUGACAUGAACAAUAUUUCAGAAAUAAGAGAUAAUUGACAAAAUGACUUGUGUUGAGCUAUUAAUAAAUAAAAGGGUAUAGCUAGUUACCGGCAAUAAAACUGCAAAAUGGAUGAUUGCAAGGAAUCACCAGCCACAUCUUAUUAAUAGGCCUCUGUGAGCUAAUUGAAAAGGAUUACAGCAUCACUAACAGUGGCAAUCUUCUAUGAUUUUAAUAACGACCAAAGUGUGUAUGUGUGUGUUUGGGCUGCUCCUUCUCUUCCCACCGGCUUUAGGCAAUAGUUAAAAAUGUGGCCACAAGAAUUCAGAUGUUACCUGUUACCUGCUUAGCCUAAACUGGUUCAGGGUGAUAACUGACUAUAAUCCGGUGUCAACAAUUCUAAGGCAGCAGGAGAAACUUGCUUAUACUCUGUAGCUGAAAAUAAACUAUGGAAAA